GCCCCGGUGGCUCAAUUGGAUAGAGCAGCGGCCUCCUAAGCCGCAGGUUGUGGGUUCGAAUCCCGCCCGGGGUA
rnacentral:tRNA from 1 species